rnacentral:rRNA from 1 species
UACGGAGGGCGCAAGCGUUGUUCGGAAUCACUGGGCGUAAAGCGCGUGUAGGCGGCUUGGCAAGACGGGUGUGAAAUCCCGAGGCUCAACCUCGGAACUGCACUCGAAACUGCCUGGCUCGAGUCCCGGAGAGGGUGGCGGAAUUCCCGGUGUAGGGGUGAAAUCCGUAGGUAUCGGGAGGAACACCAGUGGCGAAGGCGGCCAUCUGGACGGUGACUGACGCUGAGACGCGAAAGCGUGGGGAGCAAACAGG